rnacentral:lncRNA from 1 species
AACAAAAAAAAGUAAUAUUUUGUACAAAACUUUGAAUAAGACGAGUGGUCAAACUUGAUAUUAAAAAAGUCAAACGACUUACAAUUUGGGAUGGAUUGAGUACAACAUUUGUAUAUAUGUCUGCAUGUUGGUGAGAUAGAGCACAAUCGUGGAUUUCUGAUGAGUGCAGUAGUGCGUACGCGUGCAGGAGGGACGGCGACGUUGUUAAUGUUAUCUGUAUCUGUAUGUAGGGCCAUUUUCACUCUGAAUCACUCGUGUGUCUCAACUAAAUGCAAUGCAAUGCAAGUUCGUUCAGUGCGCCUCCCUUUCUCGUCCAACUUUGUAGCGGCAGCACUCAGCUCGCGAAAAGAAGAACAAUUCCUUCCGCCUAGCCUACCAAGUGUGUGUUGAUAUCCUUGGUCACUACUCUAGUUUGGUUUCUUAUAUAUACCUGUCAGUGGUGGAGCCAGGAUUUCACAGCUGGGUAUUCCACGUAUAAAAAUUUUUCAAUGCAUAUGUGCAAUAAUAAUAGGGGAUAAAAUUAAUACAAAAUUAAUUCUGGUGCACAGCUCAAGUAGUACAUAUAAUUUCCUUAAAAUAUAUGCUAGGUAAAAUAUUUAUUUAUCCUGGUAACAAGGCAUCAGGCAAAGUGAGCCUAGUGUCGCCCCUGGUAAUAAUCAAAGUGUAUAUAAAUUCUUUAUCUAUGUUACAGGAACAUAAUGCAAUAUUUUUUUAAAAAAAAAUCAGAACGCAAAAAAAAAAGAAGAAAACGAAACCUUCAAUUCUUACUUUGAAGAAUAAAAAAUAGAUGUGGGAUCUUUAUGUUUACCUUGUUAUUGCUUCAAGCCGUAUAUGAGAAAGGCGUUGAGGGGGAGCCGUAUAUGAGAAAGCCUACAAAGACCACUGACCGCCGCCGCUAGAGGAAUGCCGUCGAUGGGGUUUGUUUCUGAUGAGUUCAUGGGUUGCCGCUACUAGUUGUUCUACUAGGCUUAGAGCAACUUCAAGAGUUUAACUAUUCUUGUUGUUUAUGCUAUUUUAGAAUUUGUAGCAAAAAGUAGACUCCAACUAAUAUGAUAUUUAAUUUUGUAAAUUAGGAAGUUAGCUUUCUCUUGAUUUUCAGUGGCUAUAUAUAGCUUAUUACAGACGCUAACUAUAAGACUUUGUAAAAUAACAAGAUUAUUGUAGAUCUCUUAUUUUUUUUAGAAAUUUUCUAUUCGACAAAAUAGCCAAACAAUAGAAUUUGACAAUUAAUUUUAGCCAGACUAUUGGAGUUGCUCUUAGAGCAUCUCCAAGAGAAUAGCCAAAAAGAUUAGCCAAAUUUACUGAUUUAGCUACUCUCUAAAAUAGAUUUGACAAAAAGAUAUUAGAGUACUCCAACAGACUCUAUAAAAGAAUGACUAGUGAGGUAGGCUAUCCAAAAGUAGAGAGCGAAUAAGGUGGGAUGAAGAGCUGCUAAAUUUGAAGAGUUAUUAAUAGAGUCAAACGUUUUUCCUUCAACAAUAGCCAAAUUUACCUUUAGAAAAUGAUUUGGCUAAUCUCUUGGAGAUACUCUUAUGGGCUACAUAUUUACAUCAUUCAACAAACUAACAUAUAUACUGAUUAUACAUGUGUAUAUAUACAUAUAUUUGUAUUUAUCACAAAAAUCAUGGGUAUUCCAUGGAAUACAGGGGCAUACCCCUGGCGCCGCCCAUGAU